GUAAACGAUGAUUACUGGCUGUUUGCGAUAUAAUGUAAGCGGCUGAGCGAAAGCGUUAAGUAAUCCACCUGGGGAGUACGUUCGCAAGAAUGAAACUCAAAGGAAUUGACGGGGGCCCGCACAAGCGGAGGAACAUGUGGUUUAAUUCGAUGAUACGCGAGGAACCUUACCCGGGCUUGAAAUGCAUCUGGCGUCUCCAGAGAUGGGGAUUUCCUUCGGGACAGAUGUGUAGGUGCUGCAUGGUUGUCGUCAGCUCGUGCCGUGAGGUGUCGGCUUAAGUGCCAUAACGAGCGCAACCCUCAUCGUUAGUUGCCAUCAGGUCAAGCUGGGGACUCUAACGAGACUGCCAUCGUAAGAUGCGAGGAAGGUGGGGAUGACGUCAAAUCAGCACGGCCCUUACGUCCGGGGCGACACACGUGUUACAAUGGGUGGUACAAAGGGCAGCUACAUGGCGACAUGAUGCCAAUCUCCAAAACCACUCUCAGUUCGGAU
rnacentral:rRNA from 1 species